AUUACCUUGACAGAUUAGUGUGGUAAAUUUAGAAUUUAUUUAAGAAAUUUAUUUGAUAAUUUCAGGUAGUA
rnacentral:tRNA from 1 species